rnacentral:lncRNA from 10 species
GCUGAUUUCUAAGGGCCUCUCUCAAGAAGCUCGUGUUGAUAAAAAGGUAAUUUCAGGUGCUCACUUGAGAGCUGUGAAUUAAAAACAGGGAAAAGAUGGCGGGUGAGGGCAGCAGGCGAGGACUGUUUUGUUUGCAGGGGGCCAGGGUAGGUCACUCUGCUGCGGUGACCUUGCGGCUGAGCCCUGAACAAUGAGCAGCCGCAGCCAACAUGCAGGGAUCCUGCUUGGGGGCUGGAACUGGAAUGUUGAAUGUUUCAGGAACAGGAGGGAGGACAGAAUGGGGCUUGGAGAGCUUGGUGGCACCAGUUCACCCACAGCCUCUGGGCUCUAGUGAGGAAAUGAGACCCCAGCAGAGACCAGGGGGUCAGUUAAUGUUCGGAUCAACAUCAUUAUGUGGUCCCUUAGCUCUGAGUGAAGGGCGGAUUGGGAGGCGGGCAAGGAGGCCAGGACAACAUACAGGUGACAUAGGAUGGCGGCAUGGGCCUGGGUGCUGUGCUUAGAGCCAGAAGUGGGCAGGUCGCGAGAUACUUGAGAGGCAGAGCCCACAGGACUUGCUGAUGGCUUCUGUGAGGGGGAUGACAGGGAAGGUGAGGAAUCAAGGCAGAGUCUCAGCUUUGGGAUCUGAGAUUCAUUCAACAAAUAAUUCAGUGCCGCGUGCCAGGCCUAUUCUAAAAGUUGAGGAUAUGAAGACAACAAUGGUGAUGGCCUCAAGCAGUAAUCCCAGCACUUUGGGAUGUUGAGGCAGGAGGAUCUCUUGAGCCUGGGAGGUGGAGGCUGCAGUGAGCCAUG